AUAAAUAUCAAUCAAUAGGGCCUAUGGUAGGCAGAAUAAUGCGCCCCCCCCAGAUGUCCACAUCCUGAUCCCCAGAAUCUUUGACUGUGUUACAUGGCAAGAGGGAAUCAAAGUUGCAGAUGGAAUUAAGGUUGUUAACCAACUGACCUUGAGAUGGAGAGAGGAUCCUGAUUAUCCAGGUGGGCCCAAUAUAAUCAUGAGGGUCCUUAAAAGUGGAAGAGGGCUGCAGGAGAGUCGGUGUCGGAGGGAUGUGGCAUGCAAAAGACUAUCUACCAUGGCUGGCUCUAAAGAUGGAAGGAGGCCGUGAGCCAACGGAUGCAGCAUUUCCUAGAAGGUGGAAAAGAACAUAGAAGCUGAAAGACCGGGAGAGAAGGAUCACUUUCGUAUAGGCCUGGUAACCCCAUGACUGCCUGCAAUCAAGAAAAUUGUACCACAUAAACCACUGUUCAGAGAGAAUGCUGUUCGUUCGCCGGUAUCUUUUUUUUUCUUCUGGGCACGCAGCUAGGCUGUAUUUCCCAGUCUCCUCUGCUGUUAGGUGGAGCCAUAUAACUGAGUUCUGGCCAACGGAACAAGAGGCAAUCAUGGGUCUAGUGGCUGGAUGUGGAGACCUGGUGAACUCCAAGACCCUGGAGAUUGGUGAAGCCCCUAGACUGGAAGCAUCCUGGGUUCCUAAGUUGCCAUGUGGAAUAAAGCUACCCAGGAGACCCACCCAACCACAGACACCUGUGUUGGACUGUUUCAGUGAACAGAAGGAUGAAUUUUCACAGAGAGUAUGAUGUCUUCUGGAUGUGUUGACAGGAGAGAGUGUUUUAUAAAAGUGAGAGCUUUUGUAAAAGAAAAAGAGAUCCAAACCAAUCCCUCAGAGAUAUCACAGAGGUGGAAUUCCACGCUUAGCCGUGUUGUCAAAGGCCUCGGGAUACCUGGAGAAGACAGGAUCAGACCAGACAGAGAGGGAAUUGGUGGCCAGAUACCUGCUGUGAUGAUCUGAAGGACCGUCUCACCACAGGCUGUCAAAUGCCCGGAGUUCCAUCUUCAGAACCAUACUACGGCCUCCAGAAAGACCAUAUUAAUGCAUAAGUAUGUUACCCGAGAGAAGUGUGGCAUUACUGCUGAUUUUACUUGGCAUGGAUAAGAUAAGCAAACUGUUCUGUAUUCUGGAGAAAUAGCUCAAUGGAAGAGGAGAUUUUGAAGAUGAGAAAGGACCUAUUAUGGUAUAGGACCCUGCUUGGGUUAGGGGAGAGGCAGGAGACUGGCGAGCCAAGGGAAAGGUGUGAGGACCCUGAACCAGGGUGGGUAGAAGUUAGAGAUGGAUGAGGACAAAGUCUCAGGGUCC
rnacentral:lncRNA from 1 species